CCAGAGGGGGACAAUGCAUUUGCACAGAAUUUACAAUGAAUGAUUCACGGCGGUGCACGCAUGUGUGCACAUACUAAUUAAUAUUAAUUUGAUUCGAUGCGACUAUCUAAUUACUUUUUCUUUUUUUUUUUUUUGGCAACAUGGAGGCCAAGUCCUUUUCUACAUAAAGACCUCAUAGGACAGACCCUUUACUUGCACAAUUGCCUUAGGGAGACCCAUUUCAAAUUUUAAAACUUUCAAGUCAGUGCUAGCAGUGAAUCACUUAAUAGGACAAGUUGCUUACGAUCCCAAUUUAUUACCCAGUGUCUUGUCCUUCCUAACAGUGCAACGUAUCCUUUUCUUUUGACAAAAGCACAGAAAAAGAAGAGCACUCUUUCGGUCUUCCCCCGGCGUUUGAUCAAUUUAUAGAUCUGCUUCUGUGAAUUUGCCCAUCGAGAAUUUAGGGUGAAUAUCUUGUUUCCGAAUCAAAGGCAAGUUUUUUGCAACCAAUUUCAAUUUCUGAUAUGGUAGGAAUUCUAGGGGACAAAAAUUCCAUCUCACCUGCUCACGAAAGAGUUCAUAUCGUGCCUUUGAAUCUCGCAAAGGGCGCUUUAUUUAUGCAUACAAUGUCCAUUACUGUGUUUUUCUUGAUUGAUACUGAUGGAGGCUUGGUAGUAUUUGAUAUUAAGUCCCAUAUUGAGUAGGCUGGGAUGCUUAAUAGGCAUUUUAAGUGAAUCGGUUGUCCUAACUCAACGGCCUUUUGGGUAGAAUUCCCCAUCCCAUUAGCUACCUAUCAAUUGAUAUAAGAGCGAGGUUGUUGAUGGUUCCAGAGAGGGCUGUCAUGAUCUAAUUGACUUUCAAUCUUUACAAUUCACCGGUGUAGCUUUCUGCAUCUGUGAAUUGGACAUAAUUUUUGCUAUAAUCUUUUCUUUAGUGACAUUUUAUCUCACAAUAGAUCUUAUCUGAAAAGUUCAUUUUUAGUCUUUGAAAUAUACUUUUACAAUCUAUUGAAGAAAAAAUAAAAGAUUCUUUGUUUUGGCCCACCCUAGUUUUAUUCUUGAAGAAGCUUUCAGACAGGAAGUUUUAUUAGAUAACAAUAAAGGUCUGUUGAUUAGAGUCUUGCCUCCCACUAUUUAUUAAUUGAAUUUAGUAAUUAUAAUGAAUAUUCCAAGAGAGAUAAAUUUGACAAAAAUGGCUAACUUAAAUGAGAAACUAUGGUAAGUCUUGAUCUUCAUAGUUUGUUAUGAAUAUCCCAAAAUUGACAACAUGAGUCCAUUUAGACAGAGAUAUUAGCAAUUUGUAGCAUGAGGAAGUAAAUUGAUGCCAAUCAUUUCCAGUAAUUCAAAAGCUACUGUAUGAAGAAUCAAAUAUGUUUGCAAGAAGCAUGUUACAAAAUAGUUGUAUUUGCAUAGAACAAAGUUGUUGCUUUGGGUUUCAGUGAUCUAAGACGUAGGGAAAGUAAUUUUGUUUGGAUCUUGUGAUUUCAAGCAAUAACUUUAAAGGAGUAUUUUAUCAAAUUGAAGAACUGAAUUAUUACUCAACAAAUUCAAAUUAAUACUGGGUGAGAUCGCAGCAUGUUGCAAAAUGGCUAGAUUCCGCAGAAGGAAUUUUUUUGGUUAGCCUUCAGUGGACUAAUAGCGAAUAAAGGGAAUGUAAUUUGUUUGGGUAUCGUGUUUUCAGACAACAUGUUGCAGAAUUGUAGAUCUCUAUAGAAGAUGGUUAUUGGUUUGGUCUUCAGUAGUCUGAUACCACUUAUAGGGAAGAUUGUUAUUGUUUUGGGUCCUGUAGUUGGAGCUGUUUGGCUACUUACUUUCUCAAUUUAUACCAGUGUACCAAGGUUGAGGUGGGCAGAUAUGAUGGUUGAUGAAAAUUCUUUUUAUCCAGAUCUCUCUUUCUUUCUCCUUUCAUCUAUCUUUCUUCUUUUUCAUGACAAAUGGUAUUGGAGCAAUAGUCCAUCGACCAUGAAGCCAUGUGUUUAAAAGCUCCAAUGAGAGAGCAAGGGGGCCAAAUUUGUCUUCCUAUGGAGCAGUGAAUUGCAUAUUUGAUCGAUCAAGUUCUGUCAAGAAUGGAGCGCAGGAUGUCAAAUAUUCUAGAACUGACAAAAGAGAUAUCAAAAUAGAUAACCUAGUUGAUGAGGUCAAUGGUAUCAAGUGGACAGCGUGUUUGGUAUUCAUGGGCAGGUAAAGACUCUUAUCCACAUGAUCAUCCCCUGAGGAACUUCCAAAAUCUUUUCCAGGGGAUGUGCUUGGUGAGUUCCAAGGUAAGAGAUGUACAUAUUAGUGAUCAAAAAGACGAAAGAUCCAAUAAAGGAUAUGAUGCCACUGAGGCAAGGGGGAGAAUUAAUGAACAUUAAGACUGAAUAUGCUAUCUUUUAAGGUAUAUCUUACUUGAAUCGAGCUGAUCAGUUGCUUCCUGCGUGGACUAAAGGAGGAAAUUUAGCAAUGGGGUGUGGCUAUUCAGACCACAAAGGGGAUGAGAAGUAAGUUACCUGGGUAGUUGGAGCUUAGGGCUAAUUACUCUCUCAAUAUAUACCAAUAUGACAAGGGCUGAGGAGGAAGAUAUGACGGUUAAUAAUGAUUCUUUUCAUCAAAAUCUCUCUUUCUCACACCUUUCAUCUGUGUGUGUGUGUGUGUGUGUUGUUCUGUUUUUUUCAGUAACAGUUUUUCAAUUUAUGAGGGACCACUCACUGCUUAUGUGAAGAGUAAACAUUUAAAUGUUGCCUCGUGUAACAAAUAGUGAUACAAAUGAACAGUUUGGUCUUCCAUUAAUAUUCAUUUUUUGAUCCAUUUAA